AGGCCGCGGGAGCUGGAAGGCUGGCGGAAGCUGUGUCACAGCGCGCCCCUGCGCCCACCACCCAGACAAGAGAGAUCUAAGUCAGGCGUUGGGCAGGAGAUGGAGCUGAGGCCUACCCCAGGCCAGGCCUGGACGUGACAUGCCCACGUGGCGUUGAGGAAAAACCAGUGUUUCCCACCGACUGGAACACAAGGAGGCGAAGGCAGGAGAAUCCAGGCGACCCUGGGGCUUUUCUGCUGGGGCACUGUUCCCCCUGUGGCAGGGCCAUCCACAGAGGGGCUGGCGGAAGUGGGAGGACGGCUUCUCAAUGCUGGAAGGGGACUCGUUGGGUCAGUGGGACGUGGGCUUCACGUUUGCUGGGCUGAAGACGUAGCUCUCCAUGCUGGCAUCCCAGCGGACACCCCCACUGCCACUGCUGCACCACGUCUUCACGUACACCAGAGAGCAGACUUGAGAGUUUCUGCGCAUACAGUGGGUGUGAAAUGGUGCCCUGCUGGGUUUUGAAUCGGCAUUCCUUGACCACCGGCCAUAUUGCAGCACUUUUCAUUUCUUCUGUCAAAUGCCCGUGCAUGUCUUGGCUUACACUUUGCAGGUGUUCUGUAUUUUCCACACCAAUCCCUGGGGUGUAUGUCUUCGGCCUACCUGUUACUUGUCUUCUCAGUUUGCUGAUGUAUCAUGUGAUAAACAGAAAGUCUUAAUUUUAAUAUCAUAGCAUUUAUCAAUCUGAUUUCUUUUUUUGAGACGGGGUCUCGCUCUGUCGUGCAGGCUGGGGUGCAUUGGCGCAAUCAUGGCUCACUGAAGCCUCCUGGGCUCAAGUGAUCCUCCCACCUUAGCCUCCCAAACACCUGGGACUACAGGCAGGCGCCACAGUGCCUGGCUAAUUUUGUAAUUUUUUUGUAGAGACAGGGUCUCGCUAUGUUGCCCAGGCUGGUCUCAAACUCCUGGACUCAAGCGGCCCUCCCGCCUUGGCUUCCCAAAGUGCUGGCCCGUGAGCCUGUGAGCCACUGCGCCUGGCUACCUUCUUUUGAAUUCCCAUUCAGACUGUGUGUUGCUGGUACAUAGAAAAACAAUGGAUUUCUAUGUAUCAAGUAACCUUGUAAACUCUCAUAUUAAGUCUAAUAAUUAUGUUUGGGUUCUCUUUGUGGAUUCUUUUUGAUUUUCUGCGUACACAAUCCUAUCAUCUGCAAGUAAUGACCAUUUUGUUUCUUCUAUUCCAGUCUUUUUAGCUUUGAUUUCUUUUUUUGAGGCAGAGUCUGGCUCUGUCACCCAGGCUGGAGUAUAGUGGCACAAUCUUGGCUCACUGCAACCUCCGCCUCCCUGGUUCAAGCAGUUCUCCUGCCUCAGCCUCCCAAGAAGCUGGGACUACAGGCACCCACCACCACGCCUGACUAAUUUUUGUAUCUUUACCAGACACAGGGUUUCACCAUGUUGGCCAGGCUGAUCUGGAACUCCUGAUCCACCUGCCUUGGCCUCCCAAAGUGCUAGGAUUACAGGCGUGAGCCACUGUGCCCGGCUGAUUUCGUUUCCUUGCUUUACUUCCCUGGACUUGCUUUCUCUUGCUUUUACUUCCUUUGAAUGAAAGCAUAGGAGGCGCUGGGCAUGGUGGCUCACGCCUGUAAUCCCAGCACUUUGGGAGGCCGAGGUGGGUGGAUCACCUGAGGUCAGGAGUUCGAGACCAGCCUGACCAACAUGGAGAAACUCUGUCUCUACUAAAAAUACAAAAAAAUUAGCCGAGCAUGGUGGCCCAUGCUUGUAAUCCCAGCUACUUGGGAGGCUGAGGCAGGAGACUCGCUUGAACCCAGGAGGCCGAGGUUGCGGUGAGCCAAGAUCGAGCCAUUGCACUCCAGCCUGGGCAACAAAAGCGAAACUCUGUCUCAAAAAAAAAAAAAAAAAAAAAAAAAAAGCAUAGGAGGCAUUCUCAGUGUUCCAUUAUUAAGUAUGAUGUUUGCAGGGAGCAUUCGGUAGAUAUGUUUAUCAGAUUUAGAAAGCUCCCUCCCAUUCCUAGUGUGCUAUAUGUUGAAUUUUUAUAAAAUGCUUUUUCUGAAUGCAUUAAUAUGAUCACAGGGUUUUCCUCCUCUAAUCUGUUAAUGUGGCAAAUUACAUUAAUUCAUUUUUAAAUGUUAAACCACUCUUGUAUUUUCUGGACUAAACUCAACUUUGCGUGAUGUAUUUUUUUCAUAUACAAUUCUGGAUUGGGUGGUUUUUUUUUUUUUUUUUAGCCUCGUAUUAUUAUCCUCGUCUGGUUUUGGUAUCAAGACAUCGUAAAGUGAGUUGAGGCAGUAUUUCCUUUUUCAGCUGUUCACUGGAACAGUUAGUCUAAGAUGGAGAUGAUCAGUUACUUCCAUGUUUGCUGGAGAUCAUCUGUAAAACCAUCUAGGCCUUCCUUGUUUUUUAUUUUCUGUUUUUUGUUUUGUUUCUUUUCUUUUCUCUUCUUUGUUUUUUUUGUUUUGUUUUGUUUUGUUUUGUUGUUGUUUUGAGACAGAGUCUCACUCUGUUGCCCAGGCUGGAGUGCAGUGGUACAGUCUUGGCUUACUGCAACCUCUGCCUCCUGGGUGCAAGCGAUUCUCCUGCCUCAGCCUCCCGAGUAGCUGGGACUGCAGGCAUGCACCACCACGUCCAGCUAAGUUUUGUAUUUUUAGUAGAGACGGUGUUUCGCCAUGUUGGCCAGUCUGGUCUUGAACUCCUGACCUCAGGUGAUCUGCCUGCCUCGGCCUCACAAAGUGCUGGGAUUACAGGCAUGAGCCACCGCAUCUGGCCUGGCCUUCCUUGUUUUUGUAGCUUCCUGCCUGUCCCCCUAUAGAUUUUAAACAAUGAAUCCAACUUCUGUAAUAAUUAUGGGACCAUUUAGGUUUUCUGUUUCUUCUUGAGUAAUUUUUUUAUUGUGGGAAAAAAUACAUAACACAAAAUUUGCCAUCUUUUUUUUUUUUUUUUUUGAGACAGGUCUUGCUCUGUUGCCCAGGCUGGGGUGCAGUGGCAUAAUCAUUGUAACCUCAAACUCCUGGUCUCAAGCAAUUCUCCUGCCUCAGCCUCCUGGGUAGCUGGGACUAUAGGCAUUCACCACCAUGCCCAGCUAAUUUUUAAUUUAAUUUUUUUUUUUGAGACAGAUCUCACUUUGUCACCCAGGCUGGAGUACAGUGGCGUGAUCUCAGCUCACUGCAACCUCUGCCUCCCGGGUUCAAGCAAUUUUUGUGCUUCAGCCUCAAAUUUUUAAUGUUUUUGGUAGAGAUGGGAUCUUGUUACUUUGCCCAGGCUGGUCUCCCAUUCCCAGACUCAAUCAAUCCUCCUACCUUGGCUUCCCAAAGCACUGGGAUUACAGGUGUGAGCCACCAUGCCCAGCCUCCAACUUUAUUCUUUUGCAUGUGGAUAUCAAGUUUCCCCUAUACCAUUUGUUGAAAAGACUGCCCUUUUCCCAAUUUGUAGCCUUGAUACCCUUGUCAAAAAUCAUCUGACCAUAUACUUGAGAGUUUCUUUCUGGGCUCUGGAUUAUAUUCUGUCUCUGUCUUUAUGCCAGGACCACACUGUAAUAUGUUUUAUUUUGUAAAUCAGGAAGUGUGAGUCCUCGAACUUUGUUCUCCUUUUUCAGAAUUGUUUUGGUUAUUUGGAGCCCCUUGAGAUUCUAUCUGAAUUUAGGAUGAAUCAUUCUAUUUUGAGUCAAUUUUUGAUAAACAAUAUUUUUCUAGGAACAUGCUUUUUUUUUUUUUUUUUUAGACAGAAUCUAGCUCUGUCGCCCGGGCUGGAGUGCAGUGGCAUGAUCUUGGCUCACUGCAACCUUUGCCUCCUGGGUUCAAGCAAUCCUCCUGCCUCAGCCUCUCGAGUAGCUGGGAUUACAGGUGCCCGCUACCACGCCCAGCUGAUUUUUGUAUUUUUAGCAGAGACGGAGUUUCACUGUGUUGGCCAGGCUGGUCUUGAACUCCUGACCUCAGGUGAUCCACCUGCGUCGGUCUCCCAAAGUGCUGGGAUUACAAGCGUGAGCCACCGCGCCUGGCUGGAACAUGCCCAUUUUGUUUAAGUUUUCAAGUUUAUUAGCAUAAAGUGUUUUGGUUUUAUUUUAUCAUUGAUUUAUUAUUAAUAAAUGUCUUGGGUCAAAACCAGAUGACGUUGCUUAAUGUUCAUUUAUUGUUAACCUACAAAAAUUGCAGUUUCAUCUUGUUCAAUCUAAUACACACGGAAGAGCAUAUGCUGCUUAGAUGAAUCAUCCCCACUGACAGCCAUCAUGGACCCUUCUUUUUCCCUUCGCAGUUAGUCCUAGCCUUUCCUUGGUUUUCUUUAUACUUGUCCCAAAUAUGAAUUAGCCUUAAACAAUAAAUUAUUUACUUUUGCAACAAAUUUUUUGGUUUUAUUUUUUUAAAUGUGUUAACUAGAAUCACCAUGCUGUACAUCAGAUCUCUGGAACGUCUCCAUCCUGCAUAACUGAAACUUGGUACCCUUUGACCAGCAUUUUCCCAUUUCCCCUACCCCAGUCCUGGCGGCCACUGUUCUGCUCUGUUUCCAUGAGGCUGACAUUUUUACUUUCCACGUGAGCAGCGUCAUGCAGUAUUUGCCUUUCUGUGCCCGGCUUACUUCACUUAAUGUAAUGUCCUCCAGGUUCCUCCAUGUUGCAAAUGGCAGGAUUGCCUUCUUUUUAAAGGCUGAGUAGUGAUCCAUUGUGUAUCUGUACCACAUUUUCUUUAUCCAUUCAUCUGUUGGUGGGCAUUUCGUUUGAUUCCAUAUCUUGGCGAUUGUGAGUAGUGCUUCAAUGGACAUGCGAGUGUGGAUAUUGCCUCGACAUACCGAUUUCAUUUCCUUUAGAUACAUACCCAGAAAUGGGAUUGCUGGAUUGUAUGGUCAUUCUCACUUUAAAUAUUUUGAGGAACCACCAUGCAUACCAUUUUCCAUACUGUUCCAAAAUGUUCCCUUUUCUCCACACCCUCGCCAAAGUUUGUUUUCUUUUGUCUUUUUGAAAACGAUCAUUCUAAUUUGAGUGAGGUGGUGUCUCAUUGUGGUUUUGAGUUGCAUUUCCCUGAUGAUUGGUGAUGUCGAGCAUUUUUUUCUUUUUUUAAGAUGGAGUUUUGUUCUUUCGCCCAGGCUGGAGUGAAGUGGCGCGAUCUUGGCUUACUGCAACCUCUGCCCCCCGGAUUCAAGUGAUUCUCCUGCCUCAGCCUCUGGAGUAGCUGGGAUUACAGGCGUAUGCCACCACACCUGGCUAAGUUUUGUAUUUUUAGUAGAGACAGGGUUUCACCAUGUUGGCCAGGCAGGUCCUGAACUCUUGACCUCAGGUGAUCCACUCACCUCGGCUUCCCAAAGUGCUAGGAUUACAGGCGUGAGCACUGCACCCGGCUGAUGUUGAGCAUUUUUUUUUAAUAGACCUAUUGGCCGUUUGUAUGUCUUCUUUUGAGAAAUGCCUGUUCAGGUCCUUGCCCAUUUAAAUUGGGUUAUUUAUUUUUUCAAUUUUCAAUUUUUAAUUUUUAGGAGUACAUAGUAGGUGUAACUGGGUUAUUUUAACUGGGUUAGAAAAUACAUUUGCUUGCUAUUGAGUUGUAUGAGUUCCUUGUGUGUUCUGUGUAUUAACCUUGUAUCAGAUGGAUGGUUUACAACUAUGUUCUUCCAUUCCAUAGGCUGUCUCCUUCACUCUGUUGAUUGCUUCCUCUGCUGUGCAGAAGCUUUUUAGUUUGAUGCAAACUCAUUUGUCUGUUUUUGUUUUGUUGCCUGUGCUUUUGGUGUCAUAUUGAAAAACUUAUUGCCCAGACCAGUGCCAAGCAGCUUUUCACGUAAGUUUCUUCUAGUAGUUUUCUAAUUUCAGGUCUCACAUUUGAAUCUUCAGUCCGUUUUGAGUUGAUCUUUGUGCAUUGUGUGAGAUAAGGGUCUAAUUUCAUUCUACUGCAAGUGAAUAUCCAAUUUUCCCAACACCAUUUAUUGACAAGACUGUCUUUUGUCUAUCAUGUAUUAUUGGCACCUUUGUCGAAGAUCAAUCAACUGUAAAUGCAUAGAUUUAUUUCUGGGUUCACUAUUCUGUUACGUUGGUGUAUGUGUCUGUUUUUAUGCCAGAACCAUGCUGUUUUGGUUACUAUAGCUUUGUAACAUAUUUUGAGAUCAGAUAGCAUGAGUCUUCCAGUUUUGUUCUUUUUGUUCAAGAUUGCUUUGGCUAUUUGGGGUCUUUUGUGGUUUAACAUACAUUUUAGAAUUGCUUUCUCUAUUUCUGUGAAAAAUCUCAUGGGAAUAUUGAUAGGGAUUACAUUGAAUGUGUAGAUCACUUUGGGUAGUAUAGACAUUUUAACAAUAUUAACUAUCCCAAUCCAUGAACACAGGGUAUCUUUCCAUUUAUUUGUGUUUUCUUCAGUUUCUUUCAUCUGUGGUUUACAGUUUUCGGUGUAUAGGUCUUUCACCUCCUUGGUUAAACUUAUUCCUAAGUAUUUUAUUUUUUAUAGCUAUUAUAAAUGAGAUUGUUGGCUUGAUUUCCUUUUUGGAUAACAAAAUAAAUCUUCUUUGAUGAUUUCUUUUUUAGAAAGUGCAUUGGCUGGGCGCAGUGGCUCACGCUUGUAAUCCCAGCACUUUGGGAGGCCGAGGUGGGCGGAUCACAAGGUCAGGAAUCGAGACCACGGUGAAACCCUGUCUCUACUAAAAAUACAAAAAAUUAGCUGGGCAUGGUGGCGGGCGCCUGUAGUCCCAGCUACUCGGAGAGGCUGAGACAGGAGAAUGGCGUGAACCCGGGAGGCGGAGCUUGCAGUGAGCCGAGAUAGUGCCACUGCACUCCAGCCUGGGCAACAGAGACUCUGUCUCAAAAAAAAAAAAAAAAAAAAGAAAGUGCAUUGUUAGCAUAUAGCAUAUAGAAAUGCUACUAGGUGAGGCAUGAUGGCUCACACCUGUAAUUCCAGCACUUUGAGAGGCCAAGGCAGGAGGAUCACUUGAGCCCAGAAAUUCAAGACCAGCCCAGGCAACUAAACAAGACCCUGUCUCAAUAAUAGCAAUAAUAUUAAUACUAAUUAGUCAGGCAUGAUGGUGCACAUUUGUAGUCUCAGCUACUCAGGAAGCUGAGGUGGGAGAAGCCCAGGAGGUCAAGGCUGCAGUGAACUGUGAUUGAGCCACUGUACUCCAGGUGGGGUGAUAGAGCAAGAUUCUGUCUCAAAAAAAAAAAAAUAAAAUAAAAAAUAAAAGCUAUUGUUUUGUAUGCUGAUUUUGUAUCCUGUACCUUGACUGAAUUCUAACAAUUUUUCGGUGGAGUCUUUAGGGUUUUCUGCAUACAGGAUUGUGUGAUCUGCAAACAGAGACAAUUUAAUCUCUCUCUCUCUCUUUUUUUUUUUUUUUUUUUUACGAAGUGUCACUCUGUUGUCCAGGCUGGAGUGCAGUAGUGUGAUCUCGGCUCACUGCAACCUCAGCCUCUCAAGUUCAAGUGAUUCUCCUGCCUCAGCCUCCCAAGUAGCUGGGAUUACAGGCAUGCACCACCACACCUGGCUAAUUACUGUCUUUUUAGUAGAGAUGGGGUUUCACCAUGUUAGCCAGGCUGGUCUCGAACUCCUGACCUCAGGUGAUCUGCCUACCUCGGCCUCCGAAAGUGCUGGGAUUAUAUGUGUGAGCCACCGAGCCUGGCCUAAUUUGGGUUUUUAAAUGUUUUUUUUUUUCUUUUCUCAUUGCUGUGGCUAGGCCUUCCAGGACUAUGCUGAGUAGAAGUGGUGAGAGUGGGCAUCCUUGUCUUGCUCCUGAUCUUAAAGGAAGAGCUUUCAGCUUUUCACCAUUCAGUAUGAUGUUAGCUGUGGGCUUGUCAUAUAUGGCCUUUAUGAUGUUGAGGUAUAUUCCUUCUAUACCUAAUUUGUUGAGAGUUUCUUUUUAAUUUUGUUUUUUUGGUAGAGACAGGGCCUAUGUUGCCCAGGCUGGUCUUAAACUCCUGGGCCCAAGUGAUCCUCCUGCCUUGGCCUCCCAAAGUGCUGGAACUACAGGCACGCACCAAUGUACCUGGCUAAUUUGUAUUUGUUUGUUUGUUUGAGACAGGGUCUUGCUCUGUCACCCAGACUGGAGUGCAGUGGUAUGAUCCUGGCUCACAGUAGCCUCGAACUCCAGGGCUCAAGCCUCCAGAGUAGCUGGGACUACAGGCACACACCACCAUGAUUGGUUAAUUUAAAAAAAUUUUUUUUUGUAGAGGUGUCUUGCUAUGUUGCCCAGGCUGGUCUGAACUCCUGGGCUCAAGAGAUCCUCCUGCCUCGGCAUCCCAAAGUGCUGGGAUUACAGGCAUGAGCCACUGCACCUGGCCAAGAGCUAAUUUUUUUUUUUUUACAUCAUGAAAGAAUGUUAAAUUUUGUCAAAUGCUUUUUCUGCAUCAAUUGAGAAAUGAUUUUAUUCUCCAUUCUGUUAACGUGGUGCAUCACAUUUAUUGGUUUGCAUAUAUUCAAUCACCCUUGUAUCCCAGGGAUAAAUUCUACUUGCUCAUGGUGAAUGAGCCUUUUAAUGUGCUAUUGAAUUCGGUUUGCUAGUAUUUUGUUGAAGAUUUUUGCACCUGUGUUCAUCAGGGAUAUUGGCCUGUAGCUUUUUUUCUUUUAGUGUUCUUGUCCAGCUUUGAUAUCAGGGAAUUUUCUGACCUUAUUAAAUGAGUUUGGAAGCGUUCCCUCCUCUUUAGUUUUUUGGAAGAGUUUGAGAAGGAUAGGUAUUAGUUAUUUAACUGUUUGGUAGAAUUUACCAAUGAAGCCAUCAGGCCUGAGCUUUUCUUUGAUGAGAGACUCUAUUACUUGUCCAAUCUCCUUACUCAUUAUUGGUCUGUUCAGAUUUUCUAUUUCUUCUUAAGUCAGUCUUGGUAGGUUGGAUGUGCCUAGGAAUGUAUCCAUUUUUUCUAGGAUACCCAAUUUGUUGGAGUAUAAUUAUUCAUAGUAGUUUCUUUUUUUUUUUUCUUUUUUUUUUUUUUUUGAGACGGAGUCUCACUCUGUUGCCCAGGCUGGAGUGCAGUGGCACGAUCUCAGCUCACUGCAAGCUCUGCCUCCCGGGUUCAUGCCAUUCUCCUGCCUCAGCCUCCCGAGUAGCUGGGACUACAGGCGCCCGCCACCACGCCCGGCUAAUUUUUUGUAUUUUUAGCGGGGACGGGGUUUCACCGUGUUAGCCAGGCUGGUCUUGAUCUCCUGACUUCAUGAUCCACCCGCCUCGGCCUCCCAAAGUGCUGGGAUUACAGGCUUGAGCCACCGUGCCCGGCCUAUUCAUAGUAGUUUCUUACAAUCCUUUGCAUUUCUGUGGUAUCAGUUGUAAUGUCUCAUUUCUGAUUGAUUUAUUUGAGUCUUAUCUCUUCUUAGUUGGUCUAGCUAGAGGUUUGUUGAUUUUAUCUUAAAAAAAUCCCAACUCUUAGUUUCAUUCAUCUUUUCUGUUAUUUUUCUAGUCUCUAUUUCAUGUAUUUCUGCUUUGAUCUUUGUUCUUUCCUUCUUUCUGCUGACUUUGGGCUUAUUUUGUUCUUCCUUUUCUAGUUCCUUGGUGUGUAAAGUUAGGUUGUUUAUUUGAGAUCUUUCUUACUUCUUUUUUCUUUUUUUUUUUUUUCCAGUGACUCUCGUGCCUCAGCCUCCCAAGUAGCUGGGACUACAGGCAUGUGCCACCACGCCCACUAAUUUUUGUAUUUUUAGUAGAGACGGGUUUUCGCCAUGUUGCUCAGGCUGGUCUUGAACUUCUGGCCUCAAGUGACCCACCAACCUUGGCCUCCCAAUGUGCUGGGAUUAUAGACGUGAGCCACCAUGCCCAGCCUCUUUCUUAUUUCUUAAUGGAGGCAUUUAAGGCUCUAAACUUCCCUCUCGGAAUUGCUUUGCUGCACACUGCAUUUUGUAUGUUGUGUUUCCAUGUUCAUUUGUCUCAAGAGAUUUUUUUUUUUGUUUCCCUUUUGAUUUCUUCUUUGACCCAUUGGUUGUUCAGGAGGGUGUUGUGUAUUUCCACAAAUCUGUGAGUUUUCCAGUUUGCUUUCUCUUAGUGAUCUCUUGUUUGCGGUUGGGAAAGAUGCUUAAUGUGAUUUGAUCUUCUUGAAUUUGUUAAGACUUGUUUUGUGGCCUGACAUAUGGUCUAUCCUGGAGACUACCCCAUGUGCAGCUGAGAAGAAAGCGAAUUCUGCUGCUGGUGGAUGGAAUGUUCUGUGUAUGUCUGCUAGGUCCAUUUGCUCUAGAGCAGUGGUCCCCAAUCUUUUUGGCACCAAGGACCAGUUUCGUGGAAGAUAAUUUUUCCAUGGAUGGAGGGUUGGGGGGUAUGGUUUCAGGAUGAAACUGUUCCACCUCAGAUCAUCAGGCACAACCUCGAUCCCACACAUUCGCAGUUCAUGAUAGGGUUCGUGCUCCUAUGAGAAUCUGAUGCCGCUGCUGAUCUGCCAGGAGAUGGAGCUCAGGCGGGAAUGCUCACUUGCCCACCAGUCACCUCCUGCUCUGCAGCCCGGUUCCUAACAGGCCACAGACUAGUACUGGUCAGUGGCCUGGGGUUGGGGACCCCUGGUCUAGAGUGUUGUUCAAAUCCUGCAGCAUUAUUUUUUUUUAACUUCCCUAUAAGUGGAAUCAUACUGGAUAUAUUUUUCUAUAACCUGCUGUUUUCACUCCACAUGACAUUUGUGACAGACAUCCAAGUUGAUGCACAUAACCGUAGUUUAUUCAUUUAUUUAUUUUUUUAGACUUCUAUGGUCUGACUCUGGGACAUUUCUAUUGCUGUAUACUGUUUCAUUGUAUGACUCUAACAUAGAUCUUUUAUCUGUUCUUCUGCUAAUGGACACUUGGGUUGCUUCUGGCUUUUGCCUAUUAAAAAACAUUUAAACAUUAUUUUAAGCAUUAUAAACAAUGAUGCUGUGAGCGAUUUUGUACAUGCAAUCUGGUGUCUAGGAGUGAAAUUGUUAGCUUCUAAAUGUGCACAUCUUCAACUAUACUGAAUAAUGCUCACUGUUUUCCAAAGUGGUUGUCCCAGUUUGCCUGCCCCGGGGAAGUGUGAGUUCCUGCUGCUCUGUAGUACUGCUAACACUUGGUAUUGUCAGACUUUACAUUUCUGCCAAUCAGUGGAUGCAAAAAGAUACUUCACUGUGGGCCGGGUGCGGGGGCUCAUGCCUGUAAUCUCAGCACUUUGGGAGGCCAACGUGGGUGGGUCACCUGAGGUCAGGAGUUUGAGACCAGCCUGACCAACGUGAUAAAACCCUGUCUCUACUAAAAAUACAAAAAUUAGCCAGGUGUGGUGGCGUGCACCUGUAAUUCCAGCUACUUGGGAAGCUGAAGCAGGAGAAUUGCUUGAACCUGGGGGGCAGAGGUUGCAGUGAGCUGAGAUUGUGCCAUUGCACUCUAGCCUGGGUGAUAGAGUGAGACUCCGUCUCAAAAAAAAAAAAGGGUAUUUUACUGUGGCUUAAAUUUGCAUCUCCACAGACCUUCUGUUCUAUCUCUGGUCUUCUGUACAAAGUGGGGCAGAGAUAUGGGCAUCUAGCAUCUUCUUUGUUUUCUUCUUCUUUUUUUUUAAUCUGCAUAGCCAGUGCAAGGACAGCAGCUUCUUAUAGAGACUUCCAAUAAAUCAUCUUGUUCUGCACUCCCCAACACAUACACACACAUUGUUUCUGAGUUAUCUGGUGCCUCCGAUUCUUGUGCAAACCCAACUUUGCCACUGGCUGCCUCCCACUACUUUUUUUCCCCUAAGUGUUAAAACAUUUAUUCGAGAUGGCAAAAUUCCUACAAGUUUUCCUAGCAUGUAAUUGAGGAAAAUAACACAAUUUUUGUAAUUAUUAAAUGUGAAGGGAAAAUUCUUUUGGAUGUAUUUCUUUUCCUGAAAUGCAGAGGUGGAGAUGUCAGGUUGGUGAAAGGAGGCGGUAUUUCAAAUGGCUUCUUUUCCUGGUGCCUGGUAGCCUUUGACCCCACGACGUAUCAUGGUGCAACAUCCUGCUCUUGUCAACUGGGGUCAGGUUUCUGGGAAAGGCAGGUUAGGUUAGAGCCCCUGUGCAAGCUGAGGCGGGACAUUGGCUCCUUGGGACCAUCCAUGCUGAGCCCCUCCUGGACAGGCUUCAUAAUCCUCAGGGGAGCAUGUGCCCCGGCAUAAAGACUACUCUUCUAGAACGUCAAAUCAGAGCACUGGCAAGGGAGAUGCAGGGUCACAUGGUGCCUUCUCCCUCCUUUCUGGCUGGAGACUUAGACCGUUCCAAACAGAUGAUGAUUUACUGCAUCACCGAGCAUGGGCAGCAUAUGAGACCGAAAACACCCUCAAUCACAUCAUUCUUGUAUUCACCUAGUGGUCGCUGUGUACCUCCCACGUCAGGCACUGUACUACCAGACACUGAGGAUCCAGUGGGGAGCGAGAGGGACUUUGGGGACUGAGUCAGUAGGACACGGGCUGGUGGGUUAGGGAAGGAUGAGGGAGACAGAGGGUCAGAUGAUCCCCAUGGUUCUGCCUGGGGAACCUGAAGGGAAGUCAGAAAGGAAGCCAGGUUGAAGAGGGAUGGCAAUGAGUUUUGUGUUUGGUCUGCAAGACAGAGAUGCCGGGUUGGGGGGAGAACAGGUAGGAGGUGUGCAUCACAGGCAAAGGCAAUUGCUCUAUGGGCCUGGGUUUUGAUGGGAAGAGACGCUAAAUCAUAGUGCAUGAUUCUUUUUCAAAAUUGUAAUGCAAAGAGCCCUCAUUGAAUCUGCAUUUGAUAGCAUGUACUGUGCAAGUUUCGGGGGUAUCAGGAAGAAGAAACAUGCUCCUUUGUCUCCUGAAGCUCACAGGCUAGUGGACAUGGCAGACACGUAAGAGAAGGCAGAAGAGGUCAGCCCACAGAGAACAGCUUUGGGUUUGCCUCUGAUGCUGGCCCUGGCCCAGAUCAACCAAACCUAAUGGAAACAGAGAGCUGAGAAAGCGGGAGAGUUGAGCUCACUGAUGCUCGGAUUUUACAGAUGAAUGUGGAGGCGGUUUCUCCCAGUGCUGACAUCCAGGUGCUGCGGGUGCCACAGAGAAACAUGGAGGGGCCUUCUGGAGACCACCGCGCCCAGCAUCCUUCCCGCUUUUAGAACUGGAGCGAGACAACCAUGUGUGCUAUCACUGCUUCUUUCUUUACAGUGUCGGUCCAACACCGUAAUGGUCUGACAGCCCUGCAGGCUGGAAGCCCAGGAUCACGGUGCCAGCAGGGUUGGUUUCUUCCAAGGCCUCUCAUCUGGGUGGUGGCCUCAUGUGGCCUUUCCUCUGUGGGCACGUGCCCUUGGUGCCUCCCACCACUUUUUUCCAAGUUCACGCUGAUCCCUUGAAUCAGUUAUCACUCCCCCACUUGUUUUCCAGCUUCUGUGAUGUUCCUGGCAGGCGCUCCUCUCACUCUCUGCUGUGAACUCUCCCUUUUACAUCUGCAAUCCCUUUGCAUUCCUUUUAGCUGAAGUUGUUCCCACUCAUGUCUUUCGCCCCCAGGUGCCCCGAUGUUUCAGCUCUCAGUGGUGCCUGCAGGGAGAUCCCUCUGUACUUCAUAAUAUUAUUUUUAUUUUUUACACUUUUUUUUUUUGAGAUGGAGUUUUGCUCUUCUCGCCCAGGCUGGAGUGCAGCGGUACAAUCUUGGCUCAAUGCGACCCCCGCCUUCCAGUUUCAAGCAAUUCUCCUGCCUCAGCCUCCCAGGUGGCUGGGAUUACAGGUGCCCGCCACCACGCCCAGCUAAUUUUUGUAUUUUUAGUAGAGAUGGGGUUUCGUCAUGUUGGCCAGGAUGGUCUCUAACUCCUGACCUCAGGUGAUCCGCUCACCUUGGCCUCCCGAGGUGCUGGGAUUACAGGCGUGAGCCACCGCGCCUGGCCACACUUUUUUUUUCUUUUUUAAUUUCCUCAUAGUACUGCUUGGGCUACAUGGCUUAAGCUUUUGUACAUAGUUUUCAUUGUUCGGUUCUAAAUGCUUUUAGAUUUUCAUUCUAAUUCUUCUCGGACCAGUGCAUUAUUUUUUAUUUUUUUAAUUUAAAAAAUAAUUUAAUUUAGUUUUAUAGAGAUGGGGGGUCUCACUAUGUUGCUCAGGCUGGUCUUGAACUCCUGGGCUCCAGGGAUCCUCCUGCCUUGGCCUCCCGAAGUUCUGGGAUUAUAGGUGUGAGCCACCGUGCCUGGCCAGUAGUGUAUCUUUAAAUUUCCAAACAUAGGGGAGCCCUUAAUUUUAGUUUGGUUGCCAAUUUAUGCCUUUAUUCUGUUGCAUCAAGAACAUGGCUGGUGUGAUGCAAGUUCUUUUGCUAUUUGUUGAGUCUUGCUUUGCAGCCUAGGACAUGGUGUUAGUAAAUGUCCAAGGUGAACUUGAAAACAAUGUGUGGUCUGUAGUUUUUGGGUGUCCACUAAAUCAAGUUUGUUCAACUUUUCCAUAUUUUUUUAUUUUAUUUUUAUUUUUUGACAGAGUCUCACUCUGUUGCCCAGGCUGGAGUGCAGGGGCACAAUCUCAGCUCACUGAAACCUCAAGUUCAAGUGAUUCUCCUGCCUUAGCCACCCGAGUAGCUGGGAUUACAGGCAUGAGCCACCACAUCUGGCUCAUUUUUGUAUUUUUUAUUUUAGUUUCAGCACGUUGGCCAAGCUGGUCUCAAACUCCCGACCUCAAGUAAUCCGCCUGCCUUCGCCUCCCAAAGUGUUGGGAUUACAAGCAUGAGACACUAUGCCUGGCCCAAUUUUUCUAUAUUCUUACUCAUUGAGUCUGCUUAAACCAGCAGUUCCAGUGAGAAGUGGUAUAAUUUCCUGCGUGGAGAAUGUGCUCAUUUAUUCAUUUUUCCUUUUCUUGACACUUUUUUGUUUUGUAGUCAUUUGGGGCUCUAUCAUUAUGCAGGUGCACACAAGAUCAGAAUGGCUAAUGCUUCUUUUUUUUGUUUUUUGUUUUCCUGUCGCCCAGGCUGGAGUGCAAUGGCGUGAUCUUGGCACACUGCAACCUUCGCGUCCCGGGUUCAAGCAGUUCUGUCUCAGCCUCCCAAGUAGCUGGGACUACAGGCAUGAGCCACCAUGCCUGGCUAAUUUUGUACUGCAGUAGAGAUGGGGUUUCACCAUGUUGUUCAGGCUGGUCUCGAACUCCUGACCUCAGGUGAUCUGCCCGCCUUGGCCUCCCAAAAUGCUGGGAUUACAGGCGUGAGCCACCGCGCCUGGCCGCUAAUACUUCUUUUAAAAUAAUUAACUUAUUUAUGUAUUUAUUCUUUUUCCCCCACCCCUCCCCCGCCAGUGAAUGCUUUGGAAUGAAUACUUAUCAGUAUGCUGCAACCACUUUUAAUCCUAAUAAUGAUUUUGCCCUGGAGCCUAUUUGUGCAAUAUGAGCUUCUCUCCACUAGCUUCCUUUUGGAUGGUCUUUGCCAGAUGUGUCUCCUUCUAUCUGUAGUAAUUAGAGCCAUUCCAGCUAUGUGUCAGAAAUAAACAAACGGGGUUUAUGAUCAAGCAUGGGCGACUUACACAAUCGUCAAAAGAAAUGGAGGAACAACUCUCAGCCCUCCGAAUCGGCCACCUCCUGGGAUCAGGAAUAAAUCCUAAUCUCAAAAUGCAGGUAAACAGUCUACCUCUUGUCCCCUAAAUGAGAUGCCAAGCAUGCCCCUCCCCUCAGCCAGGCUGUCUCCAUCCAAACUUCAAUGACCACUGGCCUCCCUGCUGACCCACGUCCCACUGAGGAGCCCCAAGCUCUGAACCAACUGCCUACACACCAUCCCCUCGGGCUGCACCUGCUCCCCAGGCCUGCCCCUCCUUUGGAGCUGCCUCUGUCCACCAAGGGUGCUGUCGCUCACCUAACCUUCCAAGCCAGAACCCAGUGGUACCUUGCUGCCCCCUCCACUCCCUGAAGAAGCUGCCCCCAUGCCUGUUGAGUUCUUCCAACUGCUCGAACCUUCUGGAACUUCAGGCCUCAGCAUGUCUUGUCUGGGUGGCUGCAAUGGCUGUGCUUGCUUCUCUGUCUCUCUCCAUCAAUCAAUCAAUCAAUCGAUCAAUCAUCUAUCAAUCAACUAUCCGCCUAUUAAUCUAUAAUCAAUAAUCUAUCAAUUUAUAUCAUUUACUUAUAUAAUCAAUCAUUGAUCUAUCCCAUGUAUCUUCCUUUUAUCAUGUCUAUCCAUCUAUCUAUCAUUUAUGCCUCUAUCAUGUCUAUCUUUCAAUCAUUUAUCUAUCACCAGGCACAGUAGCAUGUGCCUGUAGUCCCAGUAACUCAGGAGGCUGAGGUAGGAGGGCUGCUUGAUGCUAGCAGAUCGAGUCCAGACUGGGCAAGAUAGUGAGAUCUUGUCUCUAAAAAAACUUUUAAAACCAUCUAUCAUCUCUCUCUAUUCAUCUGUCUAUCCAUGUAUCUAUCAUGUAUUUUAUCUAUCACUUAUCACCUAUGAAUCAUCCAUCAUCUAUCAAUCAAUCAUCUAUAUCAAUCAUGUCUAUAUAUCUAUAUAUCUAUGUAUCAAUUUAUCCAUCAAUCAUCUGUUUUUGAGGCGAUAUUCACAAAAUAUACAAUCAAUCCCUUUAAAGUGCAUAAUUCAGUGGCAUUUAGUAUGCUCUAUAGUUCGAGAACAUUUUCUUCGAAAUAAAAAGAAACCCGAGGCUGGGUGUGGUGGCUCAUGCCUGUAAUCCAGCACUGUGGGAGGCUGAGGCAGGACGAUCGCUUGAGUUCAGCAGUUUGAGACCAGCCUGGGCAACAUAGUGAGAUCCUGUCUCCAAAAAAAAAAAAUCACAAAAUUAGCAGGGUAUGGUGGCACACGCCUGUGGUUCCAGCUACUCAGGAGGCUGGGGCGGGAUUGCUUGAGCCCGGGAGAUCAAGGCUGCAGUGAGUUAUGACUGCGCCACUGCACUCCAGCCUGGGUGACAGGGUGAGACCCUGUCUGUCUCAUUAAAAAAUAAAAAAUAAAUACAAAAUUUUUUAAAAAGGACUCCCCCCGCCACAUUUUCCUUCCCCUGCCCCAGCCCCUGACACCCACUUGUCUGCUUUCUGUCCCGAUGAGCCUAUUCUGGACAUUUGUGUCUGGCUUCUUUCACCCAGCACGAACUCUUUGAGGUCUAUCUGUCGUGUUAUGGCAGAAUGGCACUGUGCCUUAUGGACAGGCUGUUUGUCCAUUUGUCUGUUGAUGAACACUCAGGCUGCCCCACCUUUGGGAGGCUGUGGCCAUCCAUGCAUAAAGGUAUGGCCGCACAGCUGUUCUCAGUUCUCGUGCCUCUGAGGCCAGAUGGGCUGCCGCACCCUAUUCCCACCAGCCACCCUCACAUGCAGCCACGUGGCCUGCAGUACUCGACACUGCUUCCCUGUUGCUGAAAGCUCCUCGGUGGCCUCUGGGCUAAGUCCUGUCUCUGUAGUGUGGCCUCCAAGGCCCGCCGGCCGCAGCCCUCCCUUCCCCUGCCCUCCCUUCCCCUGCAUGCAGCACGAACACCCUGCGCUGUGCUCCCAGUUCCCCCCAGGCCCCUGCACAAGUGGCCGCCUCUCCCUAGAAGGGCCAGCAGCACCCUGUGUGGCAGCUUAGACAUCCCUUCUCUUGCCUUCGUGCUCCUCCCACAGGGACCAGCAUGAUCCCCUCCCCUAGUCCUAUUUGGGCUCAGCCAGUAUUUCUGUGCAAUGUUGUUGCAGGUUCCGCCCCGCCACCGUCACAGGAAUCCUAAGAGCAUUGGCGUGAGGCUCGGCGGAGGGCAUGCUGGACCAUGUCUUCUGGUGACUUUCCCCCUCGGAGGGGCUUGGGGGUCAGGCCCACUCCUUUCCCAAACUCACUCUUUCCCCCACAGGCAACCCACUCCCUCUCCUCCAUCUCUCCUCGAGACCCACAGCAGACACCACCAGGCUCUGAGGCAGGGAGGAAGGACUGCAUUUGCCAGUGGAGGCUUUUACUGGGGGGACUGGGGGUGGUGCCCGGCCCGAGGGCUGAGGGCCCGGGAAAGGCACACGGUGGCGGUGGGGUCUCUCUCGGGCAGGCGCUGGCUCCGCAGACAGCUCCCCCUGGUGACCCCUCUUUGGCACUGAGCUGGGAACAUGGUGUCCGCACUCCUGGCUGGCAAGCAGAGGCCCGUGUGCCCCGGUGGCGGCUGGCAGUGUAGGCUGGCGGGGUGACGGCCGCAGGGGCUGGGUUUGGCACCGGUGGGAGCCGGGGCCCCACGGGACUCAGAGGCUGGGCCGCCCCCGCUGCUGGCACGGUAGUCACAUUGGCCACGGAGAUGGCUACGAAUAGGGAAUCCAAUAAAUUAGGCUGUAGAAAGAGGUGGUGAGGGGCCGAGGGGGCGGGGCCUGCAUUCUCGCUUGGCAGGCAGUGCUGUGCGUCCCUCUCCCCUCUCCCGUGGGAUCUUUGGGGCUCUUGUGGGGGAGAGGAUGCAGGUGAGGCGCUCUGUGUGACUGUGGGUCCCACUGGGCGGCUUUUAUGGCAUCCCACGGAACGGGAGCCUUGGCUGACCACCCUCAGGGGAUGGACCAUGGGGUCUUUGAGAGACUGACGAGGAGGGAAUCAUGGGGACUCGAGUCUCUGGAGGGAGGCCACCUGCAGUGCCAGGGGCUGUGGCCUGACGGGCUCCUGGGGCUCGGCUGCGCUGCUGUGUGGCCAGCACUGGGCCCCUUGUACCCCAGCUUCCUCCACGGAGCAAAGUAGAGGACUCACUGCCCUGGACAGGGCCCAGUCACUGUGGAACAGCGCCCCCAGGGAGUGGGAGGGACAGGGCGAGGGUUACGCAGGGCGCCACCCUCCACAUCUACUUUCCCGAGGGCGGGAAGGGUUUUCUAGGAGGAGGGGCCAGGCAUGCAGGGGCGGGGUGCGUGCAUGGGUGGGUGCUGCUGUCUCCUUCAUGUGAUCCGAGCUUGGGGGCGGGGCAGGGGCCGGGGACGGUUGUGUCAGGUGGAGGCACCCUGG
rnacentral:lncRNA from 1 species